AUACGGUGAAAGAGCGAGAUCCCCGCAUUUGGUUAAGAUUCUACAUGCGGUGAAUUCAAUUACCACGCCGCAAUCUUAGAUGGGUUUUACAUACGGUGAGCAUGUAUGGCGCAGGAAAUGCCAAAUAUCAAGGCUUGCUAACAAAUUUACAGCUGCGUGGGUUAAUGGAUAUGCGGUGAAUAAAUUAUAAGAACCCACUCACAGAAUUAGAUCGAUGGGUUUUCCGAACGCUGGAUUCAAACAAUAGUUGAGAGCAAAUUUAUGGGUUUUUGGAUUCACUGAUGCAGCAACGUCGUUGCAGGAAUUUAUGGGUUUUUCGAUUCACUGGCUUCAAAUCACAUUAACGUUAUUUAAAGCUCAUGUUCUUCACCCAAGCAUCCACUAGCCCUCAAAGGAAGACUUGAUAAUUAAUGGUGCCUCAAAGGAUGACGAGUCUGACUGAAGGCAAUAACAUAAUUACUCGCCUGGAAUAUUAUGAAAGAACUUGGAAGAAUAGUAGUACACAACAGAUUUGUUAAGUUGUAUACAUGGCUUGAAUUCAAUGAGAAAUAUUAUUUGUUGAUCUU